rnacentral:rRNA from 1 species
GAUGAACGCUGGCGGCGUGCUUAACACAUGCAAGUCGAACGGAAAGGCCCUGCUUUUGUGUGGUGCUCGAGUGGCGCACGGGUGUGUAACACGUGAGUAACCUGCCCUUUACUUUGUGAUAUCUUCAGGAAACUGGGGCUAAUACCGGAUAGGAGCUCCUGCUGCAUGGUGGGGGUUGGAAAGUUUCGGCGGUUUGGGAUCGACUCGCGGCUUAUCAGCUUGUUGGUGGGGUAGUGGCUUACCAAGGCUUUGACGGGUAGCCGGCCUGAGAGGGUGACCGGCCACAAGGGGACUAAGAGACGGCCCAGACGGCUAUGUUAGGCAACAGGGGGAAGUAUGGCACAGUGGGCGGAAGCGUGAGACAGAAGCCCUGCGAUCGGGAUGACGGCCUUCUGGGGGUAAACCGCUGUCGCCUGUGACGAAGCGGGAGUGACGGUAAUGGGUAAAGAAGCACCGGCUAACUACGUG